rnacentral:tRNA from 1 species
GGCUUGUGGCUCAGCGGUAGAGUGCUUGCCUAGUCCAUGUGAGGAGCUGGAUUUGAUCCUCAGCACCACAUAAAAAUAAAUAAAUAAAAUAAAGGUAUUGUGUCCAACUACAACUAAAAAAAAAUAUUAAAAAAAAAAGAAGAAGAAGAAGAAGAAGAAGAGAUGGAGAGAUCGAUUCCCUCUUGAGGUCA